GUUCGUUCGGAAUGGCGUGGAGAUGCUGUUUGAACUGAAUUAGAAAACCCAAACAGAAAGCAAUGGAUUUAGAUAGAAAAAAGCUGCUACUUGCUAAUUACAGGCCCCAGCACAUGCACAGUCAUCUCCCGGAUCCAAGGCACACAGGCAUGAAAUACACUGAAUCUGGGCUACAAUAGUCUGUCUAGCACUUGAUGAAGAGUAAAGGCUACAAUCUGUUAAAGAGUUACUUCCUAUAGUACAUGGUUUGAUUCCCUCAGCUUUCAUCUGUCUUCUAUGUGACUCUGCCAAGUUACUUCAUCAAGCAAUCAUUGGAAAAUUAGAUGUUUUUACUGCAGAACCUAUAACGCUUGCAAUAAAUUCAUUUCAAAUAUCCAAAUCAAAAACAUAUAUUGUUGACUAGAAAAGGGAAAUUUCAUGACUCCCUGAUUUGGUUUAUAAAUCAGAAGCUGGAGCAAUGGAUAUAAUUUUUGUUGAUAUGAUUUGCUACAACAAGAAAAUCUUGAAUUGCACUCUAUGGUUGAAGAUCUUCAAAAUAAGGUCUUGGAUUUAGAAUACAUAUCCAGAAAGUUGAACAGGAGAGUAAUUAGGGUGCCAGAAUACCUGGCUAAAUCUCAAUCAUUAAAGACUACAUUACCACAAUUUUUUCAAACUCUGAGCACUGAAACAUGGAUAAAAUAGUUCAGUUACUAAUUUGGAUUUGGUUCAUAAUGUUAGCCCACCCAAAGCUGGUUAUAAUAGGCUUGUUAUAAUACAUUUUACUGUAUGACUGAUUGUAAUGUUCUUUUUUCUGCAGCUUUAAACAAGAUGAAUUUCAUCUUUAAUCAGAUUCCUAUUAAUUGCUUUCAAGACUUGUAUCAAAAGUCAUGAUGACGAGAAGAGAUUUUAAUGAAGUUAGGAAUGCUCUUUGGCAAAAGGGAAUAUACUCUAGAUUUAUUUUUACAUCUUUUCUUCAAAUUUGAUAUAAAGAUUUAUCUCAGAAAAUGUCUACUUCAGAGGAGGCUUGGAAAUAACUUUGUGCUAUUAAUAUACUGCUGCAGCAAUGCCAGGGAAUUCAACAAGAUGACUCUUCAAUCAAUUAAUGGACUUUUUUUGAGGGGGUACAUCUCUAAGCUGUCUGAUGUUUAAACAUGAAAUUAGUCUCAUUAAAUGUUACUUGGUUAAUAUCUCUGUUAAAAGGGAAUUAAUUCAAAUUUUCGAAGGAUAUUAAAUCAGAUAUUAAUUGUUUAUAAGAAAUCCAUCUUGCUCAAAGUAAAUUUACUGCUUUUAUUAAUUCUUCUGAUAAUA